AAAAUAAACGAGUGGCGGACGGGUGAGUAACACGUGGGUAACCUGCCCUCAAGCGGGGGAUAACACUUGGAAACAGGUGCUAAUACCGCAUAACAAUCAAAGUCGCAUGAUUUUGAUUUGAAAGGCGCUUUUGCGUCACUUGAGGAUGGACCCGCGGUGCAUUAGCUAGUUAGGUGAGGUAACGGCUCACCAAGGCCACGAUGCAUAGCCGACCUGAGAGGGUGAUCGGCCACACUGGGACUGAGACACGGCCCAGACUCCUACGGGAGGCAGCAGUCAGGGAAUCUUCGGCAAUGGACGAAAGUCUGACCGAGCAACGCCGCGUGAGUGAAGAAGGUUUUCGGAUCGUAAAACUCUGUUGUUAGAGAAGAACAAGGGUGAGAGUAGAAUGUUCACCCCUUGACGGUAUCUAACCAGAAAGCCACGGCUAACUACGUGCCAGCAGCCGCGGUAAUACGUAGGUGGCAAGCGUUGUCCGGAUUUAUUGGGCGUAAAGCGAGCGCAGGCGGUCUCUUAAGUCUGAUGUGAAAGCCCCCGGCUCAACCGGGGAGGGUCAUUGGAAACUGGGAGACUUGAGUGCAGAAGAGGAGAGUGGAAUUC
rnacentral:rRNA from 1 species